AUCGGGCCAACAACAGCCUUGAGUGUCGAGAGGAACUCAGGGUCCAUCAACUGAUUUGUAAGAAACUUCUGCAUUGUCACAGGAUAUUCUGCAAGAAAUAUUGUUCUCUUACAGGCUAGCGAAAAUUACUCAUGGUUGCAAGCAACAGAUAAGAAAUCGUAACAUAUAUAGUAAGAUUGUGACAUUCGUGGGGUAGUAACAAUCACGUAAUCGGCUUAAUUACCGUGAGCAGUUGUUGGGAUAUUUCGGCACAAUCGAUCGAAUCGACCAUACAAUUUACCUCCUGUAAAGAAAACGCAAAGAAUGUGGGAGUAGCACUAGCACACCACCGAUGAACAAUGCUAUUACGAAUAGGCGGGUAGGAAUUAAUGGAUGUGAUUAGGCGAGUAGCUGACCUGAGGAUGGCCGGAGUAAAUCCAACCGCCGGAGCAGGAGGGGGACGGGGUGCCCGCCUGCGCGACAAGGUGAGGCGGAUCAAAAAGCAGGCGAAAAUUAACAAAAUCUGCGGCGAGAUGGGGGGAAACUGCGGGGGCGAGGCCAAAGGGGAUCGGGGAGGGCACGCCACGAAGCUGGAGGGGAGCGAGACGAGAGGUCGAUUUGCGGGGCGGCGGCGCACCAUGCCGGUUCUCGGUUUAGCCGUCCGCCCGCCCGCCCCACGGCCGUACAGGGAUGAUGACGGUGGAUCGCACCAAAAAUUUCUUAUUCUUCCCUACGCCCUCGAUUCAAU
rnacentral:lncRNA from 1 species